rnacentral:sRNA from 1 species
UGGAACUGGGCAGGAGGAGGAGCUGGCAGGAGGCAGGAACACAUGUGCAAAUUGAUUUCGAAUUUUUGUGGCAUAAUUCCACAAUUCAUUUGAUCUUCAUUUGGCUGUUAUCGCAGUGACUCUUUGUUGUCCUUCAGUUCAGUUCAGUUCAACUCGACACAACGCGGCUGGUGACUGUAAAAGAUCAACUUAAAACUAGGAAAGAUAGAAACGGACGCACAAGCGGACAAAGCUAUACGGACGGACAUAGCUUAUCACUAUCUCGAUCAGCGCGCUUGAAGGUCGGCUGUGUUGACAGGCGAAUUGGAAAGAUGUCGAUGUGGAUGUGGAUGAGGAUGUGGAUGGAAACGUCCCAAUUGAAAUCGGACGUGUAGUGCACUUGUGCAGGACCACCGGGAGUGCCGCCACCCUUUCUGGCCAAGUUGCCACCCCAUCGAGACGAGGACGCAGAAGGACGACGAUGAGGAUGAG